ensembl:lncRNA
AUGCCGCUUAUCUGCUGGAGAAGGGAUGGGCUACCCACUCCGGAGCUCUUGGGCUUCUCUUGUGACUCAGCUGGUAAAGAAUCUGCCUGCAAUGCGGGAGACCUGGGUUUGAUCCCUGGGUUGGGAAGAUCCUCUGGAGAAGGGAAAGGCUGCCCACUCCAGUAUUCUGGCCUGGAGAGUUCCAUGGACUGUAUAGUCCAUGGGGUUGCAAAGAGUCGGAUGCGACUGAGUGAUUUUCCCUUUCACACCAUUUCUUGGACACAUCAAAACUAUGUUUUAUUUAUUUUCUAUGUUUAUGGUGAGAGUCUGUUGGUUUUCAAGAGAAUGAUUUGUUUUAUAAAAUACACAGUAUGUAUUUUGCAUCCUCUUCAAAAUGUGGUGCCCCUUGCUGUACCGAUGUCUGCUCUUAGGAGGGACGAAGGCUCAGCGAUGGAGGCGGAGACAGGUGGACAGCACGCAGCGUGGAGCCGGGAUGUGGCAGGGACUUCAGAGGUGGAUUCUUUACUGCUGAGUCACGAAGAAAGCUCUAACAGCUAAUAUCAUGGUCCCAUCUAAAUGUAAGAGGACCUGGAAAAUUCUUUUCCUUGCAGUGCUACACUUUGGAAGAGGAACACACAUCUCUUUGGACAGCUGACUGUGUGAUACAGUAGAGUAUCAUUCUUCUGUUUCAUUAUUGUUAAAGAAUCAAGAUAUUCUAAUGACAUGUGCUUGGAUUUUUUUCCCCCCAAAGGAUUUGUAAAAGUAUACAUUCUUGAAAAGUUGCUCUUCUUGCAGAAUCUACCUUCUCCUUGAAUGAGCAAACUGCCUUUGUUUGACCGUCCAUAGCCUCCACCGAGGCUUCUUCACUUUGCUCCAUUGACCCUCUGAAGGAGUCACCUGACAUCGUGUUGGAGCUAUUAUUUCUAUUAGAAAUGACACUUUUGAUUUCUGUGGCAUGCAGUGAUGUGAUACCAUUAGGGAGAUGCUUUUCUUGGGCCAUUAUAAAUGUCAAAUUCGGUUCAGUCUGAAGGUAUUGUUGGAGGAAUUCACUGUGAAUGCUGCAUGCAAGGCAAUUCCACAAACUCAUCUAGGAAAUCUCCAAUAUUGCAUGGCCGAGACAAUUGACACGGUUUUUCAAUGACUCGGGGACAUGGUCACUAGGUUCUUGAUUUCAUUUGUAUAAACUGAAUCUCUAAACAAUGACUGAUGGCUUUGGUUCACUGUGUGCCAUAAUUCGACUACUGGAAUAAAUACUUUAUUCUCUAGUUUCCCUGGCA